GACGAACGCUGGCGGCGUGCUUAACACAUGCAAGUCGAACGGAAAGGCCCUGCUUGCAGGGUACUCGAGUGGCGAACGGGUGAGUAACACGUGGGUGAUCUGCUCUGCACUUCGGGAUAAGCCUGGGAAACUGGGUCUAAUACCGGAUAGGAGCCAUUUUUAGUGUGAUGGUUGGAAAGUUUUUUCGGUGUAGGAUGAGCUCGCGGCCUAUCAGCUUGUUGGUGGGGUAAUGGCCUACCAAGGCGGCGACGGGUAGCCGGCCUGAGAGGGUGGACGGCCACAUUGGGACUGAGAUACGGCCCAGACUCCGACGGGAGGCAGCAGUGGGGAAUAUUGCACAAUGGGCGCAAGCCUGAUGCAGCGACGCCGCGUGGGGGAUGACGGCCUUCGGGUUGUAAACUCCUUUCGCUAGGGACGAAGCUUUUCGUGACGGUACCUAGAUAAGAAGCACCGGCUAACUACGUG
rnacentral:rRNA from 1 species